UUUUUUUUUACACACUUAAUCUUAGCGGAUUACUUCAGAUGUUUUUAAAAAGUAUAUUAAGAUGCCUUUUCACUGUAGUAUUUAAAUAUCUGUUACAGGUUUCCAAGGUGGACUUGAACAGAUGGCCUUAUAUUACCAAAACUUUUAUAUUCUAGUUGUUUUUGUACUUUUUUUGCAUACAAGCCGAACGUUUGUGCUUCCCGUGCAUGCAGUCAAAGACUCAGCACAGGUUUUAGAGGAAAUAGUCAAACAUGAACUAGGAAGCUAGGUGAGUCUCCUUUCUCCAGUGGAAGAGCCGGG
rnacentral:lncRNA from 1 species